rnacentral:lncRNA from 1 species
GUCUUGGAGUGUUUGUAAGACACUUUCUUGCUUUGAGGACAGCUUCUUGUAAAUAUCUUUUAAUUUUUAAUUAAAUUUGUAAUGUUUAACUUAAGCCUUUGUGUUUUGUGAUGUUUGUAAGACAGCUAUCUAAGAAUAUCUGACUUUUAAAGAAUAUUAACUAACACGUGUGAAAUGUAUUGUUUUUUUUCUUAAUAUGUGACAUUGCCUGUGUGACUGAAAGGUAGUUUUUUAGGUAUUGUUACUUCUAUUUUUCUUAAUAUCACAGGUAACUAUUUAAAUGACUUACAUAUUUUUUCUCAAGCUCUAGCUCAACAUGCAGGACAAAGGUAUAGCCUGUGGCUGAGGGAUCAGAGGUGAGGUGCUUUACACUUGUCCUCUCCCAGCAUUCAGCACUUCAGACACUCAACGUCCAAGACGGAGCUAACAAAGAGAGAUACUCCACCCAGAAGACAGCCUUACCCCAGCCCGAUGAGAAGGAUGGAUGACCAAAUGACAAACUGGAG